AUUGAACGCUGGCGGCAGGCUUAACACAUGCAAGUCGAGCGGGGGAAGGUAGCUUGCUACCGGACCUAGCGGCGGACGGGUGAGUAAUGCUUAGGAAUCUGCCUAUUAGUGGGGGACAACAUCUCGAAAGGGAUGCUAAUACCGCAUACGUCCUACGGGAGAAAGCAGGGGAUCUUCGGACCUUGCGCUAAUAGAUGAGCCUAAGUCGGAUUAGCUAGUUGGUGGGGUAAAGGCCUACCAAGGCGACGAUCUGUAGCGGGUCCGAGAGGAUGAUCCGCCACACUGGGACUGAGACACGGCCCAGACUCCUACGGGAGGCAGCAGUGGGGAAUAUUGGACAAUGGGGGGAACCCUGAUCCAGGCAUGCCGCGUGUGUGAAGAAGGCCUUAUGGUUGUAAAGCACUUUAAGCGAGGAGGAGGCUACUUUAGUUAAUACCUAGAGAUAGUGGACGUUACUCGCAGAAUAAGCACCGGCUAACUCUGUGCCAGCCGCCGCAGUAA
rnacentral:rRNA from 1 species